rnacentral:rRNA from 1 species
CCUACGGGAGGCAGCAGUGAGGAAUAUUGGUCAAUGGACGAGAGUCUGAACCAGCCAAGCCGCGUGAAGGAUGACUGCCCUAUGGGUUGUAAACUUCUUUUAUAAAGGAAUAAAACGAGGCACGUGUGCCUUUUUGCAUGUACUUUAUGAAUAAGGAUCGGCUAACUCCGUGCCAGCAGCCGCGGUAAUACGGAGGAUCCGAGCGUUAUCCGGAUUUAUUGGGUUUAAAGGGAGCGUAGAUGGGUUGUUAAGUCAGUUGUGAAAGUUUGCGGCUCAACCGUAAAAUUGCAAUUGAUACUGGCAGUCGUGAGUACAGUUGAGGUAGGCGGAAUUCGUGGUGUAGCGGUGAAAUGCUUAGAUAUCACGAAGAACCCCGAUUGCGAAGGCAGCUUACUAAACUGUGACUGACAUUGAUGCUCGAAAGUGUGGGUAUCAAACAGGAUUAGAUACCCGGGUAGUC